UCAAAAUAUUCAAAACUGCGGCGAUCGCGUCAAGACGGAACGAAAAAGCGUCUACUUCGUCCUGAGGCAUUUCCUGCAAGCGUACGCUGCUCCCCCUUCCCCACCCUCUCUCUAAAUCUCUCCCUCCUCCCAAAGAACAGGGGGCGAAGGCGAAGGGCAAACAAAGGAAUCCGUUCUCCAAUGUCGGAAGGGGAGGCGGGCCUCGACGAUGGCGACGCCUUUAGAAGGGUCCGGCGAAGGAUCGCCGGCCAGACUAAGAGGGUCGUCCGGACGAAGGGGAUUUUGUCGAAGCAAGCGGUUUAGACGAAAGAAAAGGCGAAGGGGAUUUUGUCUAAGCAAGCUGUCAAGAUCGCCAAACAAGCCAAGGAGCAUGAGUGGAUUUUGUUUAAGGUGACCCAUUUGAUGGGUGUUCUUGGAUGUGGUGCAUUUUGCUGCAUUUUUGGGGCACGCGCACAAAAAAAAUCCAAAAACAAAGGAUUAUGACCUGAUGAUAUUUUGAAGAAUCAGAGCUCAAAUGAGGUUGAGAAAGAUUGGAAGUGAAAACUUACUUGGUGCAAUCGCCGGCAUCGGUUUGUUUAACGUGAGUGCCAUUUGCCUGCAGGAGGAAAGGAUUCUGCUGGCAAGCGGGAGGUGGCAUCGAGUACGCUCCCUGGAGCUCUUCGUUGAAGGCCGGGUGGUCGGAGAUCUCAAAUAGCAUGUCAUGGGGCCAAUCAUUCUCCGAUGAAUUCGAUGAUAACAAAGAGCUGUAGGAGGACAUGGUUACAGAUCCCAUUUUGGAGUGAGCCUCGGCUGGAGGAUUUUGCGAAGUCUGCAUGAUCUUUCCAACGGGGCACCGUGCUUUCGUGGAGGCCUUCCUAGUGGGAUGGAAGGAAAAACUUCAGUCGACGCCCCGUGCUGCUCUUCUGGGUGGCCUAUGGACCUGUCCCCACAGCCUGAAGUUAAAGAAUACAAGGACCCAUGAGCGACGACUUGGUAGACCUGUGACUUGAGAGACUUGUGCCACCUCCAAUAUUAAUCUUCGUGUGAAAGAUGGAACUGGCGGUCAGCCAGCAUGUUCAAGAGAAUAUUAAGUCAUCCUUGUAGGGUUUCACUUUGGCACCGCCCGUUCUUUUAGAGAUUUGGAGCAUGAAUGAAACUCGUAGAGUGUUAGCAACUUAGCAUAAUAAUCUUCAUUAGUCUAUAUUAUUUUUCUUGGUUAACACGAUUCUGAAUCGGUCAGUAUUAUUUUGUUUUAUUAGUAUAAUCUUGUAUCAUCCUAUAUUAUUUUUUUGUAUGGAGUUUAUAUAUGAGUAUAUAUAACCUCUGAGAUGUACCGAAUAUUAUAAAAUAUAUAAAUAAAAUCAUUGUUUUCU